AUUUCUGCGAACUUCAUGCCCACC
rnacentral:siRNA from 1 species